rnacentral:lncRNA from 1 species
UGCACUUCUUCAACAUGGAAAUGUGAAUUACCGGAUGAACCGCUGCUAACUCUUGUGGUAGUUCUAACUCAUAACCUACCUUUCCAACCCUUUUUGAUAUCCGGUCAGGACUAAUAUACCAGGGGCUAAGUUUCCCCUUCUUACCAAAUCUCAUAACACCCUUCAUGGGUGAAACUUUCAAGUAAACCAAAUCAUCUACUUCGAACUCUAACUUUCUUCUCCUAACAUCAGUGUAGGAUUUCUGAUGACUCAGCGUCGUUUUCAACUUCUUUUGAAGACUUUUAUUUUCUCCAUAACUUGAUGAACUAAGUCUGGUCCUAUUAACCCAGUUUCACCUACUUCAAACCAUCCGAUAGGAGAUCUGCAUAUUCUCCUAUAAAGAGCUUCGUAAGGAGCCAUCUGGAUGCUAGAAUGGUAACUAUUGUUGUAAACAGACUCAAUGAGAGGUAGGUAAUCAUCCCAAUUACCCUUGAAAUCAAUCACACAAUCUACCUUGAUACCUUAAAACACCAUCUCCCCCUUGUUCGAAAGCCAUCACUUUUUGCUUAUGAACACUUGCCUUUAAUUCAAGCAAUAAAGUAUAUUGGUCUUUCUUCUCUUUUACUUCUGACACUAAUGAUGAUUCAGCCCCAUUCAGCACCACUACUCUUCCUUCUGUGGAAUCCAUUAGUCGAACUCCUAGUCAUGCAAGUCUAUGCACCUCUUUUGCUAACUCUUUCUUAUCUUCCUCAAAUUGGGUGGUACUACCCAUAGACAAUUUACUCAAGACAUCAGCAACAACAUUAGCCUUACCUAGGUGAUAAAGAAUACUCAUGUCAUAAUCUUUCAGUAACUCUAACCACCUCCUUUGUCUGAGAUUAAGUUAUUUCUGACUAAACACGUACUACAGACUCUUGUGAUCGGUGAACACAUCCACAUGAACACCAUAAAGAUAAUGACACCAUAUUUUCAAAGUAAAUACUAUGGCAACCAACUCGAGGUCAUGGGUUGGGUAGUUUCUCUCGUGAACCUUCAAUUGUCUAGAGGCAUAAACUAUAAUUUUGUCAUUCUGCAUUAAUACACAACCCAAACCAACUGUAGACGCAUCACAAUAAACAACAAAGUCUUGCGUACCUUCUGGUAAGGUCAAUACUGGGGCAGUAGUCAACCUCUUUUUCAAUUCCUGAAAGUUUUUCUCACAAACUUCAGACCAUUGAAACUUCAUUGUCUUCUGAGUCAACUUCGUCAAAGGGGAUGAAAUAGAUGACAACCCCUCUACGAACCUUCUAUAAUAGCCAGCCAAACCCAAGAAACUCCUAAUGUCAGUUCGAGACGUGGGUCUAGGCAAAUUCUGCACUGCCUCUAUUUUCUGAGUAUCAACUUUAAUUCCCUCUCCAGACACAAUGUGGCCUAAGAAUGCCACAGACUCAAGCCAAAAUUCACACUUAGAGAACUUGGCAUAUAACUCUCUAUCUUUUAGAGUCUGGAGAACUAUUCUGAGAUGACUAGCAUGAUCUUCUUCAUUUCUCAAAUAGAUUAGUAUGUCAUCAAUGAAGACGAUAACAAACAUAUCUAAAUAAGGUUUGAAUGCUAUAUUCAUAAGGUCCAUGAAUGUCAUAGGCGCAUUGGUCAAACCAAAGGACAUAACCAAGAACUCAUAAUGACCAUAACGGGUUCUGAAAGCUGUCUUUGGAAUAUCACAUUCCCUCACUCUUAACUGAUGGUAGCCAAAUCUGAGGUCUAUCUUAGAGAAACAGGUAGCACCCUGAAGCUGAUCGAAAAGAUCAUCAAUUCUUGGAAGAGGACACUUAUUCUUGAUGGUAACCUUUUCAAAUGGCGGUAAUCUAUACACAUCCUAAGGGAACCAUCCUUCUUCCUCAGAAACAAGAACGGAGCGCCCCAAGGUGAGACACUUAGUCGAAUAAAACUCUUAUCUAGGAGAUCUUUCCACUGCUCUUUCAACUAUUUUAACUCUGUUGGUGCCAUUCUAUAUAGCAAAAUAGAGAUAGGACGAGUAUCAGGAAUAAUAUCUAUACCGAAGUCUAUUUCUCUCUCAGGAGGGACUCUGAGAAGAUCAUCUGAAAAGACUUCUGAAAACUCUUUUACUACUGAAACUGACUGAAUAUGAGGUAUCUCAACACUAGAGUCAUUAACUCUAACCAAGUCAUAGACACACCCCUUGGAAACUAACUUUCUUGCCUUAAGGUACGAAAUAAAAUAACUCUUAGGCACUGCUAAACUGCUUUUCCACUCUAAGACUGGCUCAUUUGGAAACUGAAACUUGACAACCUGAGUUCUACAAUAUAUUGAUUCAUAAAAUGCAUGAAGUCUGUCCAUACCUAGAAUGACAUCAAAAUCUACCAUGUCUAACUCAACUAUGGCAGCCAUAGUACUCUUGUGAUUGACGAAAAAUGGGAAAAUCACGAUAGACUCUCUCUGCUAGAAUAGACUCACCAACAGGUGUAGAAACACUGAAGGGCUCACUAAGUUGCUCAGGAAGAACAUUAAAAUUAAUCGCAACAUACGGAGUUACAAAGGAUAAACUCGCUCCUGGAUCUAGCAAAGCAUAACCAUUAAAGUUAAAGACUUUGAUCAUACCAGUGACAACAUCUGGAGAGUUCUCUUGCUCUUGUCGACUAGUGAUCGCAUAAAGGUUAUUUGUUCCUCCGCCAGUACCGGAUGUAGCUCCUCUACGUGCAGCCCUGUCUGGUGGGGAAACUGAAGAAGACUAGGCUUUAUUUCCCCCAUUACCAUUACCUUGCUUGUUCUUUGGACACUCUCGCAUAAAAUGACCAUUCUAGCCACACUUGAAACAUCCAGUGGAGCCAUAACGAUACAUCCCUGAGUGGAUCCUACCACACUUAGCACAUGUAGGAAUCUUAGUACCCCCUUGUGCCUUACUACCUUGCCAAUGCGCAGGUCCAGAUUUUCAUUCUUUCCAAAAACAACUCUUUCUAGUUCUUUCAAAUAGCAGGGUGUUACAUAAACAUAAUGAAAGUAAAUUGAAUUCAGACACCACAAUAGGUCUUCAAAGCAGAUUCACAUUGCAAGUCUUCUUCCGUGUAGCUAAAAGUAAGGAACUCAAGAUGAUUAUAUGGCUUAAAGAGUAAAGGGUGGUCUUCAUCUACCAAUUCUUCUGGUGCCUUUAUCGUAAAUCCAUCUUUAGGUGUUGAAAACAAAGCAACUGAGUACCUUGUCUCAUUUUCUCUCAUCAACACUCUAUGAUAUGGUAAAUGUAUCCUACCAUUUGUCCAAGCCUACGUAUAAAAACAACCCUUUAUAGUCCAAAUUGAAAGAUUUAAAAAAAAAAUGAUAAGUACGUUUGAACUUCUAUACAUUGACAAUAUAAAAGAUUUUUUAAAAAUCAAGUCAUCCGAAAAAAUAGUUAUACAUAAUCGCCCAUAAAAAUAAGACAUGUUAGAUGUCAUAAUUGGUUAAAAUAAAUUGAUAUUAUAAUUUGUCCUUUUUUAUAUUAUGUGGCAGAGAAAAUUAUACUACACAUAUAGCUUAAAAUUAUUAAAUAUUAAAUCUUGAAUACAUUUAAUAAAAUCUCUAAUUUCUCAAUAGUAUAUAUCGAGUGGUCAGUAGUAUUGUUUUUAUUUUAUUCAUAAGGAAAAUAAAAGCAGAGGUAAAGAAAUCGUUCUUAAUGUUGGAAUAGCUUACAUGUAGUGAGUCUCCAAUCAUGAUAGUAAUUGUGCCUGGUGUAGGAUUAAUAUUUUUCCACUGUCCAUCUUUGAUCAAAACUUGAAGACCAUUUGCCUGAUUUUGGUAUAGUAUAGUAAGAAUUUUCUUGUCUGUGUGAGCACUUAGUCCAAUUUCAGUCUCACUGCUUUGAGGUGUUUUAUACUUGAUCAAUCGAAGAAGGUAGUUUGUUGAAUUCAAAUGCUCAUCCAUGUACUUUUCCACCCCUAAAAUCUCCACAAUCAUCCUCUUUAUUGUUUGGUCUAACUCUGAUAAUUGCUCUGAGUAUGACUGAAUAAUUUUACUGCAAGCACAUAUAAAAAUAAAAUAAAAACAACAACAAUAAUAAUAAUAAUAAUAUGCAUGUAUUUUUGUUACCAGAUACACAAAAAUAAGAAGAGAGGUGAGUGAUAUUGGAGAAUGAGGCUAGCGAGAUUCGUAUGUAUCCAAAUACAUGUGAAUAUAUCCUACUAGAUACACACUAGAUACAUGCAUUUGUAUGUAUUUGGAGUGAUUCACAUGUAUCCAGGAUGAGAGAGUGCCAAGCAAAAUGGGAGAGAGGCAAGCGAGAUUUGCUAUAUAUCUCAGAUACAUAUUAAUCCACUUGUAUAUAAUGUAUCUAGAACAAAUUAUACCUAAAUUUGACCUCAUGUAUCCAAGAUACAUGUAUCUGGAUGUAUCUGAAGGCACCAAAAUCUUAUAAGAUAUGUAAUAUUAAAAACUAGAGAAUAUCUAAAGAAUUAACUCCUAAACUAGUGAAAUUUACUUAAGUUCCCUUAAAUCACUAAACAGCCUAUUAGGCUAAUGAAUGCAUCCGGCCGUAUAUUGUUGUUGCCAUUUGAAGAAUUGUGACAUUGGGUCCUUAAGGAAGUAUAUUAAUUAAUAUUUAAAUUGAGUUUUUAUCGAUUGUGGUUGGAAUUGUGGCAUUUGUAUGAGUCUAAUCUUUUACAAUCGAAAAUUUAAUCAAAAGAUUAGACUCAUACAAAUGUCAAGCUAACAUUGCAAUUCAAUAAUAAACUAAGGAUUAAACAGCUCAUUCGUAUGAAAACAACAAACUCGGAAAUAUGAUUAUAUUGGACCGAGGAAGACUUUACCGCAGUAAAAUUUGAAUGUCACUAAAGUGAGUGAAAUAUCAUUUCAUCAAUCUGAAAGAAAUUAUUAUCUUUUUCUAUUUUUCAACGGUAAUUGCAAGUAUUUUCAUAGGCAAUUCUUAAAAGUUAACACUAAAUUAUUCAUUUUGCUUCUCACAUUAAACAUUAAAAACUAAAUUAGAGCUUACAAAAAUUAAAUUCCUUAGAUACAUAAAAAAAAAUAAUAUUAAAUCAUCAUCUAGAACAACAUUUUAUUGUGUUCAUUAUACAAAAAAAGCGGCAUAAGGGUCAACUACUCGGCUAGAAGCCUGGAAUAUAAAAAAAAAAAAUUAAAAUCAAAUAAGUUCUAUUUUGGGAAAAAACUACUUAUUCGAGGAAAAUACAAAAAUACAUGAUAGGAGUGUAAAAAUAUAUCGAAACUAAAACUUGUAAUGUUGAUGUAAUUUAUAUAUUUACUAUAAGUAAUAAAGUUGAUAUCGAUAUUUCGCUAUCAUGCAAAGCGUGGACAAAUUAAUUAGUAUUAUUCACCAUAUCAGUACUGCAGUACAUAAAUACAAGUAUAUACUCACAAGGAGUAUACAUAUUUAUUGUAUUAGUAAACUAAUCAAUUAAAUUAAAUUCAGACACCACAAUAAGUCUUCAAAGCAGAUUCACAUUUCAUGACUUCUUCAAUGUAGCUAAAAGUAAUGUAUUCAAAAUGAGUAAAGGGCUUAUAAAGUAAAGGAUGUUCUUUAUCUACCAGCUCUUUUGGUGUCUUUACCAUGUAUUCAGCUUUAGGUAUUGUAAACAAACCAACUGAGUACCUUGCUUCAUUUCCUUUCAUCAUCACUCUAUGAAAUGGUGCAUGGAUUCGACCAUUUGUCCAUGCCUACAUACAAAAACAAUCCUUCAUAUAUUAAAAAAAAUAAACCUAAGAAUUUGAAAGAUAGAAAGCUAAGUACAUUUAAACUUCUAUACACUGACAAUAUAAAAAAAAUCACAAGUCAAGUCAUCUAAAACAAUAGUUAUAGAUAAUCGCUCAUAAUAAAAUGAUAUUAAUUAGUAACCUAAAGAAUAAGACGUGUUAGCUAUCAUAACUAAUUAAAAUAAGUGCAUAUCAUAAUUUAUUUAUUUUAUAUUUAGUGGCGAAGCAAAUUAUAAAGUGUAUAUAGAGAAUUAUACUGCAUAUAUAUAUAUAUAUUAUAUAUAUAUAUAUAUAUAUAUAUAUCUUGAAUAUCCUUGAUCAAAUUUUUAGCUUUACAACAAUUUUUAUUUUAAUGAGUUGGAAGAGCUUACAUGUAGUGAGUCUCCAAUUAAGACAAUAAAUGUGUCUGGUGUAGGGUCAACAUUGAUCCACUGUCCAUCUUUGGUCAAAACUUGAAGACCAUUCACUUGAUUUUGGUUUAGUAUGGUAAUAUUGCUCUUGUCUGUGUGAGAACUUAGUCCCAUUUCAUUCUCACUGCUUUGAGGUGUUUUAUACUUCAUCAAUCGAAGAAGAUAGUUAGUCGAAUUCAUAUGCUCAUCCAUGAAAUUUUCCAUCCCUAAACUCUCCAAAAUCAUUUUUCUUACCGUUUGGUGUCAAAUGUACAAAAAAGCCCUUUAAUCUGGUGGUCUGAAACAUGCUACGUGGAAAAUUGAAAUUAAAAUGUUACCAAAAAGAAAAGGGGUCAUUCUUUUUUAAACAGACUAAAAAUGACCUACAGAAUAAAUGGUGAAGAUUAAUGUUUUACCAGAAAGAAGUAUUUCCUUGAGGCCAUAGAAUUUGAGUGAAUUUUUCAGCUUUAUGUGGGAUGUUAGCAUCAUCAAUGCCCAUGCUUUCAUAUAGUGGAAUUGAAGGGUGGUAGAAUCCAACAUAGCCAUUGAAGGCUUUGGUUCUAAUCAGGGCCGGCUCUAUGUAUACAAAAAUAAGGCAUUAGGCCUCCAAUUUUAGGAGGCCUCAAUUUUUUACCAAGAAUAAAUUAUGUGUUAAUUUUUUAAAGAAAAACAUUAAUUAUUUAUGAUUAAAAGUAUAUAUAUAUAUAUAUAUAUAUAUAUUCUUACACUCUCUCUACUAAUAUUCACAUUAUUUUCUUUUUAACUCCUUUUACACUCUCUUCUUUAAAUUGUUGAUAAGUUAGAGUAAUAUUCUGUCAAAAAUAUCAAUUAAUAGUCAAAAAGUGUUGAACAAAUUGAAUUGUAAAUUCUUUUUCCAUUUCUUCUUAGAUUUUCAAGCAUUACAACAACCAUAGUAAAAUGUGGGGUAACCAAAUUAUCAACUUCAUCAAAGCUAUGGUUCUAACUCUUAUAUUUAUUUGAAAUUUGUCAACUUAUUACUUGUAGAACUAUGUUAACAAUUCAUAUAAUGAUUGCCCGAGUAAAAUAAUAUUUUUCAACGUUGAAUUAAUAAAAUCUUAUUUAAAACUAAUAAUUGAAAAAGAAAUCAAAUAAAUCAUUUAUAUAUAAAAGAAAUAUUAUUAGUUUAUUUAGAUUUUAGGCCUCUAAUUAAGAUUUCGCUUUAGGCCUCCGAUUACGUUGAGUCGUCCCUAGUUCUAAUGCUUAAGUUUGGUUUGUGAAGGGAGAUCAAAAAGCUCUUGUGAGGAUUCAAAAAUGGAUUUUCUAAGAUGUAUUGGAAUUUUAUCAAAGGAAGCUUCAAAACAACCAUAUUCUACUAGUGCUUUGUGGACUUGGCUUUUCACUUGAUUCCAUACAAGUGUGUGGCUUUAGGUCUUCCUGAGAAAAGUCUAUUUUUGGAAGUUUGAUGUUUUUAGAAUCCAUAUUUUCUUGAAAAAUAGAUUUUUGUUGUAUGAUUGUUAUGCUUAAUUCCAUGCAUGUAGCUAAACCUAUUUAAAGAAUUUGGAAUAAGACAAUGCUUAAAUGUGGUGUAUAAAGGUAUCAAAACUUAUUUGAAUUUUAAUUUCAUAAAUUGUAAUCGAAAUUUUUCAUAUUCAAUUCCAACUGCUUAAACGCCCAACCCUAUUCUUAGGUGGGCUUGUAAGGAUAUCAAAAGAUUGAAUAAGCUAAAGUACUAUGUUUAUUUAAAAAUAUUACUAAAAUUAGAUUUUUCUAAUUGAUUGAUUCUUUACUCUGAUUUCAAAUUAUGUUUUAGUUAUAUAAUCUCUUUUUAUCUAAUGAUAUAUCUAUACUGGCAACACUAUUCAGUUGUUGAAGAAGCCUAUUCUUCACUUUUAAAGAAUGAAAUGGGAAAAGAUAAAAGUAUUGUGAAAGUAAACAAGUGAAUAAAAGUGAUUAUUCAUUCUUUAUCUCUUUUACUCUUUUCUAAUGAAAAGAAAAAUUCUUGAAACUUCAUAUUUGACCCUAACUAAAUUUUGUUUGGUUGCUUCUAGUUCUAUAAAUUCUAUAAUUUUUUGUCAAAAAAAAUAAAACAAUAUUGUGAAUUUCAUUUUAUAAAUAUGUCUAGAUAAGUGAUGAAUCAUGUAAUUUAUCAGCUCUCUAAGAUAUAGUAUGCUGAAUAAAGUGGAAUAUAUGUGUACUGACGUUAAUGUUUUUUUUUUGCAAUUAAUUAUGUUUUAGCUUUCCUCAGAAUUAUUUCUAGUAUUAAAAAAAAAGUUAAUUAUCUCACAAAAUCUCAUCCAUUUAUAGAUAAUUUUUAAUGUACAUCGGUAUUAACAAUAUACUACUUUUAGAAACAUUUAUAAAUGAACCAUUCUAUUAAAAACUUGACUAUGACUUGUACCAAAUAUUUGGUGUGCAAAGACAAACAAACGUACCUCUACGCUUUAAAGGAAGUAGGGGACUAGUAUAGCAAAAAGGACCAUUCAAAAUUAUUUCUCUCUCGUCUUUAUUUUUGUGAUACCAUUUAAAUAUAUACGGAGUUUUUUUAAUAAAAAAAAAAAAAAGCUUUUGAAAAGCAUGGACAUAAAUUAUAAUAUUCAAAAAUAGGGAUAAUUCGUGCAAAAACUGAUUUGUCACCGCAAAUAAAAAUUAUUCUUUUGAGUUACUCCCUCCGUCCCAUUUUAUAUAAUGUACUUUGAUUUGGCACAAACUUUAAGAAAAAUGAAAAGACUUUUAAAACUUGUGGUCCAAAAUGAAUGAUAGAAAUUUGUGUGGUUGUAAAUCAUUUCAUUAAGGGUAAAAAAGACAUUUUAUAGGCAAAUUGUUACUUAAAAUAGAAAUGUGUCAUUCUUUUUGGGACUGACUAAAAAGGAAAGUAAGCCAUAUAAAUUGGGACAGAGGGAGUAUAUAUUUUCGUAAGAAAUCCUAUGACAAAAGCAAUAAAAACAUUUUGGGCCCAAAUUCCCACUCUUAUCUUACUUCUUUAAUUUCGAUCAGAACAAACUCCGGCCCAAUUUAAUAAAGUAAGGACUAAACAGACCAUUCACAUGAGAACAACCACUUUGGGAUAUGAUCCCAUACUAAUCAAACCUUCAGUGGAUCGACUCUAUUAUAUAAGUUAAUUUCUAACUUUUAUAUUAUAUCAUAAGAUAAAUAUGCAGUUAUUAUUAUAUCGACACAAAACCUUGCUAAUUGAUCUUUACUGUGCUUCCUCUUUCUCUCUCAAUUAAAGCUUUAUAUCCAUAGAAAAAAGUUGCUAGAUAUUUUUAAUUUUUUCCUAUUUCGACUUCUAUGAAGUUUCUUUCUUUGCUACUGACGAAAUCGUUGUUUUAGACGAUGCAUGUGUAGAAUUACUAAAAUGAAUUUGAAUCUUCUCAUGUGACUGAGAUAUCAUUUCAUCAAUUUAAAGAAAUUGAUAUUUGUUAAAUAUUUUUCAACUGUAAUUAUAUGUUUUUUCACCCGCAUUUGUUAAAAGUCAAUAUUAAACUAUUUAUUUUGAUCUCACAUUAAAUAUGAAAAACUAAAUUAGAGCAUAAAAGAAAUCAAAUUCCUUAGAUACAUCAUACAUGAACAAUAUAUUAAAUCAUCAUCAUCUAGUCUAGAAAAGAAAACAAUUUACUAUUACGUGCAAUAUUUUAUUGUGUUCAUUAUACAAAUUACAAACAAGCAACAUAAAAAGUAAAUUACUAGGUUUGAAUAUAGAAAAUUAAAAGAACCCAAACAUAAAUUACAUGAAAAUUCAUAUAAUUAUAUCAAACACCACAAAAAUCUUCAACUAAAUUCUGUGAUCUUCGACCACGUUGUGUGUCAAAAAACUUGAUCAAAUCAAGAUGAACAAAUGGCUUAAACUUCAAUGGAUGUUCUUCAUCAAUUAAUUCUUCAGCCACUUCUAUAAUUUUAUCAUCCUUUAAAAAAGUAAAUAAUCCCAUAGUAUACCUUGUUUCACUCCCAUUUAUAUCCAUAAUUACCUUAUGUAUUGGAGUAAGCACCCUAUCAUUGCUCCAUCCCUAUAAAAAUAAAACACAAGUUCAACUUAUGUAUACUGAUCGCGAAUAAAAUAAUUGAGAUAUAAGUUGUAAUAUACUUACUCUGAGUGCUUCACCAGCCAUGACUACAAAAGAAGAUGGUGGAAACUCAAGAGUUAUCCAUUGAAGGUCUCGAGUUUGAACUUCCAACCCUGAAAUGUGAUUUUGGUAUAGUAUGGUUGUGAACGUUUUAUCGGUAUGAGGGGGAAACACCAUGCUAGUUUCCUUAGUCUUUGGAGUGUUAUAUUUUAAAUAUCGAAGGAGAUAUGUGGUUGAUUCAAGAUAUGAUUCACAAUUUUUCACGAUUCCAUAGCUCUCAAACAACAUUCUAACAACCUUGUUGUCCAACUCCGCCACAAUCUUGGAAAACAUCAACGACCUCUCACUAAAACCAAAGUCAUGAGCAAAGAAUAGGAUUCAGAAUGAGUUUAGUUGGUUCAACUGAACACAUUGCUUUCUAAUCAAAUUAAAUUAUAUAUAGGUACAUGUGUCAUGUCAAAGUAUAUAUUCUGAACUCACUGAAUCUAAAUUUUGAUAUGAUCGUGAUAUUAAAUGUAACAAAGAAAAUGAGAAAUUAUUACUAAUUACCAGAAAGAGUCAUUUCCUUGUGGCCACAUGAGGUUGGAAAAGGUUUGAAUACCUUGAGAAGUAGUUGCAUAAUCAAUACCAAAAGCUUCAUGAUUAGGUAGAAAUGAAAUUUGGCCAACAUAACCAUGAUAAGGCUUUUCACUAAUGUUUAGUAUUUUUUUGUCUAAAGGAAGUUCAAAUAAUUGUUGUGAAUUAUCUUGAAAAAUGGAUUUUUGAAGUUGGGGUGAAAUUUUGUCAUAAAGUGCUAUGAAACAACCAUGGUUUUCAAAGGCAUGUCUAAUUUCUUUACAUGUAGAUUCCCAAGUAGUUGUGCCUGGCCUUAAUUCUUCAUUGUUGAAGUCUACCACUAGUAGUUUUGGUGGAGUUGUUAGAGAACCCAUAGUAUAUUUCUAUAGUUUAUUGUUUUUUUGUUCUUUUGGUUUUCCAAAGGAUCUCUAAUUUCUUGGUUUUAUAUAGGCUUCUUAUAGGAAAAAAAAAACUUUAUUCUUAUCUUAAUUAUUUUAGAUCAUUUUAACUAAGUUACAUCGAAUGUGCAAGGUAAUUCUGUUGUUACAAUAUGUUAAAUUAUAUUUUUAUGUAAAAUAUUUAUUUAUAUAUAAAAUUAAUCUUUAACUAUAAAGUUGUAUAUAUUAGAUAUUUUGUUUGAAGUUGAAGUUUUGUUUGGAUAUGCAAUUGAAUUUUUGAAGUUGUAUUUUUUUCAUUAAUAUGAAUGAAAAUCUCACAACUUAUGAAAAAUGUCAGCAUUUCUUCAAAUAUUAUACCGUAUUAUCAAAUGACCAAAUCAUAAUUCAUAAAUAAGAUAUCAUAAUGUCGUAAGAUGCACCAUUGAUAAAUCACAUAUCUCCAUAUUUCUUUUAUAACUAAAUAUUUGCAGUUACAAAUUUUCAAAUACACAUAAUUUUGUUAAGAUUCACUAGUCAACAAUAGUAGUAACUAGUUAUUCUUUAAUAUAAUCCUAUCACAUGGUACAUACAAUUUCUUCACGUCAAUCAUGAGUCUGUUUUCUUUUACAAAAUAUAAACUUGUGAAUCAAAUUUUACAUUUUAAGAAAAUUGAAAUCAUGAUUUGAUCUCAAAUAACAUGUCCAAACGAAAGUUUUAAAGUUUUCAAUCUCAUAACCCACUAUUUUCUGAUCAAGUGUUCAUUUAUAAGACGGUAUACUAUAUUAAACAAAAUUCCAUUUUUUAAUAAAAUGUUUACAAAAUGGGUCAAAAAUAUUAUAGACUCAGCAUACAAAAAUUGUACAAAAUUAUAAAAGGUGUUCGACAAUCAUAUACACUAUUAUAUGAUAUUAUAUAUAUAUUAUUACAUAAAUUGACUUCGUUUUCUUUCUUGCGUCUCUUCUGAAGUUUAACUCAAAUCAUUUCUAAUUUAAAUUUUGAACUCUUCUUGAUGUUUAGAAUUAAUUUGGAACAACACCUAAUUUAAAUAACUAACAAUUGUAUUUGCCCAUAAUUAAUUCUAAAAAGUUUCAAUCUUGCUUCUAUUUUCUAAUUUAUAUUCUCUAAUCAGCUGUACUCUUUCCCCCGAACCAAUCAAGUAGUAUACUUUUUAAUUUUUUGCAUGAUAAAGAUCUCCAAAUAAUUCAUGUGUAAACGUCCAAAUAUUCAUUAGGGAUAGGGUGUGCUAGCUGUUGGUAUGUUACGUCCUCCGUUUAACAAUAGUUGUUCACUAUAAGUCAUCUAAACAUUAAAAAAUAAUAGUAUUUAAUAGCAAGGGUAAAAUAGACAAAAUGGUGAAUCAUUCAUUGAUUUUAUAAACUGGACAGCGUUGUUGGACAUCACAAAUAGUAUAGUUGACAAGUAAAGGUGGACGGAGGGAGUAGGUCAUUGGUUGUUUUCCACAGAGAGUUAUUUACUUAUUUAUAGAGUACUAUACUAUAUAAUUAUGAUGAUGAUUGAUGAGGAACAUAAUGCUAAUUACAUUUAACUGGUUGAUCCUGACAAAUUGGCUCAAUUUAGGACCACAGUCCCUUUCGAACUUUUAAGAAAAAGGUUUAAUUAAAUUAUGGCUUAUGUAAGCAAAAUUAAUGUUAUGAAGAGUACAAUGUUUACUGUAUAUGAAACAGACUUCUCAAACUUAUUUAACCAUUAAUUUAAAGAUUAAAAUCUAAGAAAAUGUAAUCAGUCAUAACUUGGACGAUAUAUUGAUCACAUAAUUCAAUAAAAAGAGAGGUAAAACACGAAAAAUACAAUAUCGCUCGUGAAACAAAAUGAUUAUUAGUGCUAUAAUGUAUGAACACGGAUUUUGGACUCCAUCAAUAUUGAUGAAAAAUUAUGCAUAUUUUUAACUAAUCAUGUGAAAGAUUAGUUGUAAAGGAUCAAAAUCCAUAAUUAACUAGGCAUCAAAGGAUGUACUUUUUUCUCUUUAUAAUAUCUACAGGGUAUACAUAUAUAUCAUACGUACUACUACGUAGGAGUGUAUAAAAUCGAACCGAAAAUCGAAUCAAACCACAAACUGAGUCAAUUCGGAAAAAAAAUCCGACUAGUGAUUUGGUUUUGAAAAAAAAAAAAAACCGACUAUAUUUGGGUUGGGUUGGUUUUAACUAAAAAAAACCAACCCGAGACCAAACCAACCCGACAUUAUAUAUAUAAUUUUAAAAUUUUACAUACAAAUAUUUACGUUGAUAUAAUUUUUAAAUAUUUCUUAUACUUUUUCAUAGUUUUUAUCUUUUAAUAUAUUAUUUCAAGUUUGAAACUUAGAAUUAUGAAUGGACCAAUAAAGAUUAUAGUCCACAGAUAUUGGUAAUUAUAAUAAAGCUUAAAUCAAAAUCAAAUUAUUACUAAUGCAAAAAGAAAAUCAAUUCAACACUAAGAAUGACAAUAAUAUUGAAUAUUUGUUCUUUAGUUUUACAUUGGUUUACACAAUUAAAAUACAUAAUCUAAUUUUAAUUUCCUUUAAUAUUUAGUCAUGUAACUAAUACUUAUUAAACUUAUUUUAGCAUGAUUUAGUACUUUUAAAUUAUGAUCAUUUUCAUUAUGACUUGUUAAUUUGCAAUAUUUGUUUUACGCGAUUUCAUUAUUAUUUUUUUGUUGGAUAUUUUAGUGUCAUUAAUCAUAUCAUAUUNNNNNNNNNNNNNNNNNNNNNNNNNNNNNNNNNNNNNNNNNNNNNNNNNNNNNNNNNNNNNNNNNNNNNNNNNNNNNNNNNNNNNNNNNNNNNNNNNNNNNNNNNNNNNNNNNNNNNNNNNNNNNNNNNNNNNNNNNNNNNNNNNNNNNNNNNNNNNNNNNNNNNNNNNNNNNNNNNNNNNNNNNNNNNNNNNNNNNNNNNNNNNNNAAAAAAAAACAACCCGAGACCAAACCAAUCCGACAUUAUAUAUGUAAUUUUAAAAUUUUAUUUUAUACAUAAAAAUAUUUACUUUGAUAUAAUUUUUAAAUAUUUCUUAUACUUUUUCAUAGUUUUUAUCUUUUAAUAUAUUAUUUCAAGUUUGAAACUUAGAAUUAUGAAUGGGCCAAUAAAGAUUAUAGUCCACAUAUGUUGGUAAUUAUAAUAAAGCUUAAAUCAAAAUCAAAUUAAUACUAAUGCAAAAAGGAAAUCAAUUCAACACUAAGAAUGACAAUAAUAUUGAAUAUUUGUUCUUUAGUUUUACAUUGGUUUAGACAAUUAAAAUACAUAAUCUAAUUUUAAUUUUCUUUAAUAUUUAGUCAUGUAACUAAUACUUAUUAAACUUAAUUUUAGCAUGAUUUAGUACUUUUAAAUUAUGAUCAUUUUCAUUAUGACUUGUUAAUUUGCAAUAUUUGUUUUUAUUCGAUUUCAUUAUUAUUAUUUUUGUUGGAUAUUUUAGUGUCAUUAAUCAUAUCAUAUUGUGUUAUAUUUUUAAGAAACAUCUUAGAUAGUUGUAUUUUGGUAGGACUAAAGAAAUAUUUGAAGUACAAGUAAAUUAUAUGCUUGUAUGAGUACUUAAUCGGAAAAACCCGAAACAACCCGAAAAAUUCAAAAAAACCCGAGGUUGAAAAACCCGAGUUUUAUUGAUUUGGUUUGGUUUAUAAAUUUAAAAAUUCGACACAAAUGGUUUGAUUUGAUAUUUGAAAAACCUGAAUCAACCCGGCUAUGUACACCCCUAGUCCCAAUAAUACAUAUAGAAUUGAUCAACUAAUGUGACAUUUUUUUGCAAUUAAAAAUAUAUUUUGGACCCAUUCUUUUAAAAAAACACAAAUUAUUUGUAAAUUGGUGUCGCGCCCCGUUUUUCUCAAAACGGACUUACCUUUCGGAAUGCACGACCUAACAACUCUUUUGGGAUUUGGGUGAAUUGAAGAGUCGCCACCUAACGAAUUAAGGCGCGUUAGGGCACCUAUCUAACCUAACUAAGUCUAGCUAAGGUCAACGAACCAGAGAUCAGGGUAAGGGUUCAAAUUACCUCGAGGGGAAGGUGUUAGGCAUCCCUCAAGGUCCACAAAUGUGGGUCCCGACCGUGUCUUAUGCAAUAUGUGGGGGUUACAAGUAGCAAGUAUGGUCACUUCAUUUAUUAUUUUGUUUAAUUAGCAUGAUGACUAGGUGAUAACUAAAAUUAAACAAUUAAAACCAUUUUAUUUAUUUAUUUAAUUAGUUAAGCAUGCUAGACUAUGUGAUAACAAUAUUAAGCAAUUAAGGGCACUUUAAAUAUUUUAGUUAAUUAGAUAGGCAUGCUAGACUAAGUGAUAAUAAAUAAAUAUCACACAAUAAAUAAAGAGAUGAGCGAGGGGAUAGAAAUUUACACACAAUUAGAUAGACUAAACAUUUUUUUUUAAAUUUUUUUUAUUAAACUACCCCAAAUAAAUAUAAACACAUAAAGGGAUAAAAGGACAGGGAGACUCUGAAGGACUUUAGGAUCAGCACUCGACUUUUCUUUAUUUCGGUCGGCAUCUAGUAGGGACAGACAAAACCAAGGUUUUGUCUUUAAGACCGAGUCGAUGUCAUCAUCUCCAUAGGGCCUAAACUACCCAUACCCCUCCACCGCAUACUUUCGUCUCUACAAGGUGCCUAUCGUCCCUGCUUAAGGUCCAAGAGGCAUUGGACUACUAAUAAGGUGGUUUUAGACAAAAAAUAAAAUUCUUAAUAGGCCCACCUAGACACCAAAUCAAACAAGUUGGACGAUCAUUUAGCACGUAAAGUCUCAAGUUGGCCUCUAGAUUUUUAUUAAUAUGCUAGCAAACACACAUAGAGUGAAAGUCUCAUGCGAGUGUUUGCAUAUGUAAAAUAGGCAGCAAGCAACAUAACAAUAUAAUAGUUAAUUAAUGAAAAGGGCAAUUAGUUAUGACAUAGGGCAGAUUUUAGCUGUAAACUGAUUUUAACGAUGGCAAAAGGUAUCACCAAUAUAGGAAAUAAUUUUUAGAGCAAUAGCAGGUCAACUUAUUAAUACAAAUAUUUAUUUUAAGUAGCAAUAAAUUCAUUAGAUGCAUGAAUUAAUCAGUAGCUGGUUCCAAAUGGCAAAAUUAUGAUGCAGAGAUUAAUAUUAAAGUAGACCUGAAUUGAAGCAACAAGUAGCAGAUGCAAAGAAAUGACUUCAUUAAUUUAUUUAUUUAUUUAUUUAAAAUAAUCUGUUAUCAAAACAAUAGCAGAACAAUGCAUAAAGGUAGCUCAGUUAUUUAAUAUACUGACAAUCAACAGAUUCAUUUUAUGGAUGAAAAUUAUUAUAAGUGCAGAAAUUGUUGAACAAUGAACUGAAAUAUGCUACAGAUCUAUUUAAAUUAUUUAACAUGCUGGAAGAUUAUUAUCUUAUUAUCUUAUUUUAGUGUCAACAAUAAAUAUAUUGCAGAAACUAAUCAAAACGGAUUUAUUUAAAUUUUAAAACAUAAUGAAAAAUUACUAGUAGUCUAUAGACGUACUAUUCAAGUUAACAUGCUGACAAAAUUUAAACUACUAACAUGCUACAACUUAUUAGCAGACUAAAAUUAAUUAGAGCUCAAUUAAUUAACAAAUUAAGUUAUUAAAACAUGCUGAAAUUAUUUAAUGAUUAAGUAGCAUCAGUUUAAUUAGUUGAAUCCUAUAGACAUGCUUUUCUAAUGACAAACUAAAUUUAUGAGCAUUCACAGGAAUUUUAUUGACAUACAAAUAUUUAAACCAAUCCUACAGGCAGUCAUCUAAAUGGCGAAAAAUAUUUCUUUGUAGGCAAUACUGAAAAUUAAGCCUAUAUGCAUGAAUUUCUAACCCUUUAACAUGCUGAAAAAUAAUUAAACCUAUGGGCAUGAUACCUAAGAAGUGGAAAAAACAAACUAGAACAAACAAAUUGUUAUAAAUACCAAUGUUUAAUCUUUAUUUUAUGCAUAAAGAAGUUGAUCGAUUACUAAAUAACAUUUAAAUAAAUUGGUUCUCAUACAUAAAGGUGGUCCAGAAUCAACAAGGCAGGAGACAUGUGAGAUUUAUUUUAUAUUAUUAUAUGCUAAAAUGUCAAGGCAUUCAUUAAUACAGACAAAUAAGCAAAAUAGAUAAACGACGAUAGAUAUUUAAACAAGGAUUUAAAUGAUCACUUAACCUGAAUGGCAAAUUAACAAACAAUGAGCGGAUAAAUGAUCACAACCUAUGGGCAUACUUUCUACACAAUUAAGUUGCAAUAAAGUAAACACGUAGCACGUAAAUCCCCAUCCCUCCCUUAGACGAUCCCCCAAAUCAUAUAUAUAUAUAUAAAGCUGGAUACAAGAUUGUUGANNNNNNNNNNNNNNNNNNNNNNNNNNNNNNNNNNNNNNNNNNNNNNNNNNNNNNNNNNNNNNNNNNNNNNNNNNNNNNNNNNNNNNNNNNNNNNNNNNNNAAUAAAUUAAAAGCAAGAGGGAGAGGGAGAAGCAACAUGUUACACGUAGUGAGCUUUAUAAGGCAAUCACUACAUUAGUGUAAAAAAAAAUUACUUUAAAUCUUUCUUAAAAUAAAGUUUGAUGCCAUUGAGUCACGCUUGAGAAGGUUGAUAGGGAGUCUUGAUCAAGUGAAGGUUACUCUUUCUAGGACAACUUGCUCCGUCCGACUCAGUCAUGUCAAGAUCACUUGAUUUAAUGCCAGGAGGAAGUUUCCAAUCAAAGUGAUAUAAUAAGUUAGCCAAAGGCAAAUAUACAUUAGCUAAACCAAAUGAUAUUCCAGGACAAAUCCUCCUUCCACUACCAAAUGGAAGAAAUUCAAAAUUAUUACCAGCAAAAUCCACCGAACUUUGCUCAAAUCUCUCAGAUUUAAAGCUUUCUGCAUCAUCCCAAUUUUUUGGAUCUCUUCCAAUAGCCCAUACAUUAACUAUUAAUUUUGUUUUCGAAGGAAUAGUAUAGCCAUCUAUAUCUACUACUUCCCUACAUUCUCUUGGGAGCAUAAGUGGAAGCGGAGGGUGGAGUCUUAAAAUUUCUUUAACGAUUAGUUUUAGAUAUUUCAGUUCUUCGAUAUUAUUUUCAUCAAAAGUUUCUUUUCCUCUAAAGGCUUCCCUUACCUCUGCUUGAGCUUUGAAAAGUAUACUUGAAUUCUUAAUCAUUUCCACCAUGGCCCAGUCAAUUAUGGUUGAUGUUGUUUCUAUUCCUGCUGAAAACAUGUCCUACAUUUGAGAGCAAGUUACAAGGUUAAAUUCAUUCACACGUACGUGUUAUUUAUCUAAUUGUUUGAAUUGUUUGACAAAGCUCCUAUACUAUAGUCCCUAUCACCAUCACCCCUACACUCCUACUCUCUAUUUUCAUCGCGAUAAUAUUUACCUACAUUAUACAAAUUAUUUUUAUUUAUUUAUCAAACGUCAAAAAAUAAGUAAGAGACUCCUUUUUUUAAAAAAAAGUCCAAAAUAUAUUUCUUUCAUACCAAACACACCUCAAGUAUAUGUUAAAUAAUAAUUAGGCAAAAUUGUAUAGUAUAUAGUAAGUACUUACAUAAACAAUAGCUUUGAUGUUGUCAUUGGUGAUUGGAAAUUGAAGGUCUCCAUCUUCCAUAAGUCUCAAUAGUACAUCAAUUAAAUCUUCACCUCCUAAUUCACCAUUAGUCUUCCCAAUUACAAGAUUUUUCUUGUGCUCAUUUAUAACAUUCUCAACAAUGGUAUCUACCUUAUGGUGGAGAUACAUAAUUUUACCUUUCAUUCCACUUAACACAUGAAGAAAUUUCAAAGAUGGGAAUAUGUCAGCCACAUUGAACCCUUCCAAUAAAGAUGUCACACUUUUCAUUACUCGUAUAAAUUCAUCUUGCUCCUUGAAUAUCGUCCCAAAUGCUGAUCGACAUAUUAUAAAGCUUGUGAAUAACGAAAUCCUUUUUGUUACAUUAAUUGAUUCACCAGUGUAUGAUGAUCUAAAAAAUUCAACUAGACGAAGAGUUUCAUCUUGUCUAAUUGAACUGAAUGACCGAACAUUUUUCCCACUAAGCACUUUUAAGACACAAAUUUUGCGCAUUUGUCUCCAGUAAUCACCAUAUGGACAAAAUGCAAUAUCUGUACAAUUAUAAAAGACAAUUUCGGAGGCCAAAAGUCUUGGCCUAGAUGCAAAAGCGAGGUCAUGAGUUUUUAACACUUGUUUAGCCAUGAUAGGAGAAGUAACAACAACUAGAGAAACUUCACCUAGUUGAAGGUGCAUAAUUGGACAAUAUUUUUUUGGCUAAAUCUCUAAGGACACGAUGUGGAAGUCCACCAACCAUAUGAAACAUACUUCCAACAAAUGGUAAUUUCCAUGGACCAGGAGGCAAUCUUUUGUUAAUUUGGCUAUUGGAAUUCUUCAAUUUCUUUAAUAAAAAGAGGAAAAAUACAAAAAGGGAAAUGGAAAUUAAGUUGAACAACUCCAUUUUUGGGAAGAGAAAGGAUGGUUAUUUUUGGUUCAAUUAUAAGUUCUUCAAAAGGUUGUUGCAUAUGCCUUUUUAUAGAUUCUUUUUUUUUGGGCAAAUAGGUUUCUGUAGUAAAGACAAAUUGGGAAAAGGCUUAAAAUAUUUCUAUACUAUUUGAAAUAGGCUAAUUUUUUCUUCUAGUUCCUCCUGUUAGGUGAGUUAUUAUUUGUGGACGUGAUAUUAUGUACUUUUUUUUUUACAUUAACUACUAUUCGUACUCGCGCGCGUUGCGCGAAUAUUUUUAAAUUAAAAUAAUUUCAAAUUUUGUCCUUCACUUUUUUUUUUUUAAAAAAUUGUUAUAAUACUACUUUAUUACUAUUUAUAUGAUCAUAUUAACUUAAUGUUUUAGUACACAAUUUUACUUGUUAUUAUACUAUUCUAAUAUCUAUAAUCAACUACGUUUUUUUUUUGAAGUUUUUUUAUAUAAUAAUUUAACAUCUAAGUAAGGUAAAUAAAUAAAUUUUAAAAAAGCGAUUUUAUUUUUUAGUCGUAUUUUAUGGAAAUAUGGUUUCAAAUAUAGGAUAUGAAAUUUUCAAGAACGUGUGUAACUUCUUUGAAACUAAAACUAUUGUGGGAUUUUGAAUUGUAAAUAGUUUUCUAUUUAUUUAUAUCGACUAUUUGAAAUUUAAUUUUAUCCUUUAUAUAUAUAUAUAUAUAAAUCGUGCAUUUAUUUAUAUAUAUAUAAUCGUGCAUUUAUUUUUAUUUUAUCCUCUAUUUAUGCAUAUAUUUUAAUAAAAUUUAAAAUCGAUGAAGGCUUCUGACUUAAUUUUUUAUUCUAACGUAGGAAAUUUAAAUUAAUAACUAACAUGUGCUGUUAUUCUUGUUUAAUUUAGUAUAUUAUUGAUCUAAGAGUCUAGUAGAAAUAACUUAAGCUUGUAUCAUCUUUAUGAGAUUACAUGAGUAUAUUGUUAUUUAUAAUACUACUUAACAUUGUAUUAUGUAAAAUUCAGGAAAGACUUCUGGAAACUCUCUUACUAUAUGAACUGAUUGAAUGGGAGAUAUCUCAACACUAGAGUCAUUAAUUCAGACUAAAUGAUAGAUACAACCCUUUGAAACUAACUUUCUCGCCUUAAGGUACGAAAUGAAACGACCCCUAGGCACUGUUGAACUACUACUCCACUCUAUGACUGGCUCAUUAGGAAUCUGAAACUUGACAACUCGAGUUCUUCAAUCUAUUAAUGCAUAACAGGCAUGGAGCCAGUCCAUACCUAGAAUGACAUCGAAAUUCACCAUGUCUAACUCAACUAAAUCAACCAUGGUGCUGUUGUGAUUGAUGAAAACGGGACAAUCACGAUAGACUCUUUAUGCUAGAAUAGACUCUCCAACAGGUGUAGAAACACAAAAGGGUUCACAAAGUUUCUCAAGAAGAACAUCAAACUUAUUUGCAACAUAAGGGGUUACAAAAGAUAAACUUGCUCCUGGGUCUAGCAAAACAUAAACAUCAAAAGUAAAGACUUUGAUCAUACCAGUGACAACAUCUGGAGAGUUCUCUUGCUCUUGGCGACUCGUGAUCGCAUAGAGGCGGUUUGCUCCUCCGCCAGUACUGGAAGUAGCUCCCCUAGGUGCAACCCUGUCUGGUGGAGCAACUGAUGAAAAUUGGGCUCUAUUGACCUGAUUUCCACUACCUUGCCUAUUCUUAGGACAUUCCUUCAGGAAGAGACCCACUUGCCCACACUUGAAACAACCUGUCUGGCCAUCACAACACUUAUCUGGGUGGAUCCUACCACACUUAGCACAUGUAGGAGCCCAGUUACCUCCUUGUGCCACACUACUUUGAGACUAUGCAGGUCUAGCUCUGAAGUUUUGUGAAUUCUGGCCAUUAUACUCACUUUUGUUUUUGGGUGCAGGUGCACUAGUAGAUGAUGGUGCAAGUCCCUUUUGCUUCUGAAAAGACGGACGAUUUACACUAACCUUCUGGUGCCCAGACUCGUUCCCUGUCUUUACUUUCUUAUUUCUGAAUUCUUCCUUGUCUUUCAACUUUUCUUCAUCAACCUGCUGCACAUAAACCAUCAACCUCGAAAUGUCCAUGUCUCAAAUAAUCAUUGAUGCUCGAUCCUCUUUGAUUGAUAGACGGCCCAACCCAAUAACGAACAAGCUCAUUCUACUUCUCAUGUCCUUAACCAUCUCCGAAGCAUAACGGGAUAGUUGGGUGAACUUCAACCCAUAUUCAUGAACACUUAGAAAAUCCUGCUUAAGUGUGAGGAACUUACGUACCUUGGCCUCUUUCAGUUCUCGGGGAAAGAAACACCUCAAGAAAGCUUCCUCAAAACAGGCCCAACUCGCAGGUGGUGCAUCCUCAGCUCUACCCUCUUUCCACUAAUCAAACCAGGUCCUAAGCAACAUUUUUCAUCUGAUAUGCAGCUAGCUCAACUCUCACAGUAUCAGUAACAUGCAUCACAUCGAACACCUUUUUUAGUUCCUCAAUGAAGUUCUCUGGAUCCUCUGCAGUGCUGGAACCCGUGAAGCUUAGAGGGUUCAUCCUCAAGAACUCACGAAUCCUUGAAGUGUCAGCCUCUUCUUGUCGAGCUUCUCUCUACUGCCCAGCUUGGUUAGUCACAACUUGACUGAGCAUUCUUAUAGCCUCUCUGAACUCAGAAUUAGUGACUUCUCCUCGAGGUUGCACUUCAGGUGCAUUAGGUAACGUUUGUCCCUCAACAUUCCUCCUAGCUGGACGACUUCUGACUGCUCUUCAUGGAAGCAUGAUUAUCUGAAACACUCGCAAGCACGAAUUAGAAGGAAACUUUUAUAGAGAGUAACUCUAUCGCACGAAAUAAAUAUGAAAGAAGUGAGGUAGUUCCUAAAUGUUACAGCCUCCUAAUUAUAGAUGUGGCGUGCUUCACACCGAUAACUAGGACUCUACAGACACGGCUUCAUAGACUCCCUAUGACUCUUGAAAUCUGUGCUCUGAUACCAAGUUUGUCACACCCCAAGAAACACCUUGGACGUGGCCGGCACUCGAAGACCAUUGUUGGCCCCAAGCGAACCCUUGGCCUGGCUUACUGACUCAGCAAAAGACUCUAAACAUUUUACUAUAAUCAAAUAAACUUACUCAAAUAACUUUAGUGAAAUAACUCAGAAUGUUUAAUGGUCAACAUUCAACUAAGCCAAAAUGGCAACUAAAGUCUUAACAUAUGAAAUAAUAAUGUAAAGAUGUCUACCUACUAACUAUUUACGAAGCCUCUAAAACAAAGAGGGAUGUUGGGACAGGACCCCCGAUCAUUCUAACAUCUGAAGGACUAGAAAGCAAAUAAAGGAGUCAUCUAAAUGCAAGGAGGCUCACCACAAACUCUAAAUGCUCAAGCCGGAUCAACGAGGCGCUGGAUGCUGAUCCUGGCUACAUGUGUUUGCAUCAUAAGACGAUGCAGGACAACUGGCAUCAGUACAUUUAAUGUACGAGUAUGUGAGUUGGAAUGCUAAACAAAUAUAAAGGCUUGAAAAGAUUUUGAAAGAAACACUUACCUUGGUUCUUCUCAACUCAUGAAUAACUUAACUCAGAAUAAAGCAAUGAAUACAUGCAAUAUAUGAAAAGGCUUUAUAAAACAGUAAAAUCAACUUAGUUCGUUAAAGGAAAUGCAGUAACAAACUCAACUUUACUCAUAUAAUAAAAUAAUAUAGUUUUUGUGGAGAUUCUCUAACUGAUAACCACCACUAUGAGCCUAAGUGGUGAUACAACAUCUUGCCCACGCGGCCAGAACUGUCCUAUACUUUGCGUCAUAUAGAACGCUUAACUUAGUGGAUCCACUAGCUUAACUUAAGUGAUCAUCUAAAAAGUAUGACCCCAUUAAUACCCAUGAUGGCUACAUGGUUUUUGGAGACUUGAGUUAAUAUGGAAUCGCAUCCCCAUAUCGGUGUUCAGUACUACUCCCAAAAAUAUACUUAGCUCAUAUGUUUUAAAAAAAACUUCUUUCUUUGAUUUGAUAUAAUUACUCAAAACUUAGCUUAAAAGCUCGUUUAGAAUCGAUGUUCCCUUUUCUUGCUCAAAUGUGAAAACAUUUAUAAACUUCCUUGGGAAUACUUAGUUCCCUUAUAGCUUUUUGAGAAAUGAACUCAACUCUUUACUAUUUGCUUAACUUGAAAACUUGAGUCUUAAAAUGAAUUUAAAACAUUGUUAAAGACUCUUGAAAGCUUUAAGAAACUUUGUUUUGACUUGCUUCUAAACUUCUAGACUUGACUCUCGACUUCGUUGACUUUGAUCUUAACUUUACUUGGAUUGGAUUAUGGAUUCAAGGUUCAUGAUCUCACGUAUUGGAUGAUUUCAUGAUGUUUAGAUGUACCUUAGAUUGUUGGAAUCAACUAGAAAACAUAGGUACAUUGCGAAGGAACAAGUACGAAAAGGUGGGGAGCGAAUGGGGAGAACUGGCAUCCCUGGCGCUCUGAGAGGCGCGGGGCGCCAGCCCUCAACAUUCAGGGACUGGUCUGGGGAUCGCUGGCUGGCGUGGCGCCCCAAGGGUGAACAUUUAGGGACCCUUUUGGGGUGCUCUGGCUGGCGCGAUGCCCCACCCCUAUACCCAGGUGUUUGACGACUUUUCUUCUCCGUUUUUCAUCUCUAAACCCUCUAAACUCUAAUGGUUCUUUUCCUAAAUAGUUAGAAUCAUUUAUACUCUCAAUAUAUGUUAGAUUCAAACCGAAAUUACACCCGAAUAUGUGAAUCAAAUCGCAAGAACUCCAACAACACAACCCAUAAGAAAUUCAACAAAACUUUCAACAAUGUUCAUCAAGAACUUCACUUUCUUAACAUUCAAACAACUCCAAUUUUGCUGAAUUGAAACAAGUUUGGCUUUCUCUUCUCUCAAAACCCUAACUCUUUUUUCCAAAAGCGAAAACUGACUUAGUUCAGUUUAGAACCAUAAGUAAUUACCAAAAACGAAUUAAAAUAAAAGGGUAAGGAAAAGACCAAACUACACUUCAAAAUUGGGAUUGAACUUUGCUUAUUCCAACAGCCCAACUUCCAAAGGGCAUAACUUACUCAUACGAACUCGGAAUCGCGCAAACUCGGUGGCAUUAGAAAGAUCAUUCCAAGAAAUUUCCAACCAUAUCUGGAAGUACACCUAACUCAUCCUGAGCUAGGAGUUAUGGCCAUUUAAAGUUGACCAAAAACUCACUUUUCCUUACUUAAACAAAUUUCCAGAUUUGUCACUAUUUCCAAAAACGAUUAUUUCAAGUUCUUAUCUUCUUCCUAACUAUUUCAAAUUGCGAGAUGUUACAGUCCUAUACACUUAUGAUUAUACAAAUACGAUCUUCCCCUGCCCAGUUUUCUUUUGUGUUUCUCUCUUUCUUGCUUUAUACAAACACAAAUUAUACAAUUGAUUCUUUUGUAUAUGUAUACCGAAACAGAUUAUACAAUUGCUUUCUUUUGUAUAUGUAUAGCGAAAUAUACAUAUUAAUAGUCAUAACAAACAUAAAGUUUCCUAUGUAGUGCAAUUAUGCAAACUAUAGAUAUAACAUACAAAUAUGAUUUUUAUGUUUGCUAUAUGUAAAAGUUGCUUAUUUGUUCUUUGUAUAAUAGGUAAAAAAUAUUUGUCCUUUCUUGAUUUGUCAAAAUGGACAAGUAAAAAAAUAAAAGUUGAACAAGUAAUUGGGGACAAUUAGAGUAUAAAGUUUGAACUAAAGUUACUAGUUUCAUCGAACUCAUAUCUCAAAUGAUGAACACAAAUUAUACCAUCUCUAUUCAUAUUUAUUUGUCAUCUUUAAUCUAAUGCAAUCUUAAGAAGUAAUAAACAAAAUUAUAAUUUUACUAAUCAUUCUUAAUUUAUAUAAAUUAUUUUACUAUUGGAAAAUAUAUAUUUCUUAAUAAUAUAAAUAAAACAGUAAAUUAUCUCUUAAUCUUUUAAACUAGACAAGUAUAUGGAAAACAACCUCUAUUUUCAUAAGUUAAGAGGUAAGACUACAUACACGUCAUUUUUAUAUGACCUUAUUUUUGUGAUAAUAGUUGUAUGUUGUUAUUAUUGAACAAAAUAAAAAAUGUAUUUAUUUUUAAUAUAAUGAAUAAAUAAAAAUAAACGGAAGAAAUAUUUAAAUGAAUAAGGAAGCCCACUAUUCAUUGAAUUAUGUGCCAUCAUGGGUGACAAAAUCAAACCGAUCCUUCCUGCUCGUUCAAUCCAUUCAAGUUUGGGUUGAAUUAUUAAUUUAUCUAUUUACUAACUUAAUUUAUUUUAGGUCAUUAAAAAUUUGAUUGCUAUAUAAUUCAAUUAAUUUUAAAAUUGAACGAAUUAAGUUACGAUCUGCAUUAUAAUCUAUUUCAAUUUUCAAAUUUUAAGUAACUUUGGACGAAUUAAUGACUCACUCAUUUAUUAAUUCAAUUCAAAACCUGCUCAAAUUCAUUUAAAUUUGUCUUCUUUACACACCUAACAUGUCAUCAUUGAAGAAGUUUUAAAUGAAGAAGGAAGCCACUAUAUGUUGAAUGGUGUGCCAUUGGGGUUGACCCAACAUGUUUAAGUUUGAGUGGUUGUUGACAUAUUAUUUUAUUAGUUCAAUUUAUUUUAAUUUAUUUUUUAAUUUGAUAUCAUAUAUAUAAGAUAAUUAAUAAAAAGAUAAAUGGUUAUGUAAUAUAUAUAUAACAAAUAAACAACUAAAAUUUAAGGCAUAAUAUAUAAAUGUUCUUUUAAUUUGAUCUCAUUUCAUAUUUAUACUUAUGAAUUUUUAGGUAUGCACAAGUAGACACUUAAACUUGUAUAAAAUUUAAUAAAUAGGCACAUUAAUCCUACGUGACACAACACACGUAUAACGUCACAUAGGACUCAAAUUGACAUGUAAUAUUCCACGUAGAACUCAAAUUGUCUAUGUUGAAUAAUGUGCCCUCAUGGGUGACAAAAUCAAACCAACCCUCCCACCUCAUUCAGUUCAUUCAAGUUUGGGUGGAGUUAUUGAUCUAUCAAUUGACUAACAUAAUUCAUUUAAGCCCAUUAAAAAUUAGACUUAUAUAUAACCUAAAUUAAUUUGAGAUUUAAUUUUAUCAAAAAAUAUAUAUAUAUUUUUAUAUGUCUUAUAUAGUCAUAAUAAUAAAAAAAUUAUUAGGUAUUAAAAAGUUAUAAAAAAAAACAAAUAAAAUAAUUAAAACUUUGUAUAAAUUGAACGAAUUAAGUUAUGAUUUAUACUUUAAUUCAUUUCAAUUCAAGUAACUUUGAACUAAUCAAUACUUCAUUUGUCUUUAAUUACUUGACCACUUUUGAAUUGACACACCUAUUAAGAAAAUAAUAAUUGAUAUAAUGAGUUUAUCAUUUUAUCCCUAUUAAUUAUUAAGUAGAUGAAUUAAAAACUUCAGAUUUUUAAAAAGUUCUACCUUUAUCAAAGUAAUUAAUUGAAGAUAUAAUAGGUAAAAAUAUUUAUCCUUUCUUAAUUUGUCAAAAUAAUAAAUAAAACAUAUAAAAUACGAAAAGUAAACAAGUAAUUAAGAACCGAAGGAGUUACUCACUCAUUUAUUAUUUGAGUUCAUUGAACCAACUAAAAUUAAAUUCAUUCAAAUCCGUCUAUUUAACACACUUACGUGUCAUCAUUGAAUAACUUAAUCCGUUCUCUUAUUUAUAUAAGAACUCGGUGGGACAGCUACACAAAAUAUCCUGCUCCACAAUAAUUAGAUGAUUAAAAUAGUACUACCUUCUUAUCUCAUAAGAGCUGAAGAAAAGAAAUAAAAUAAUCUCAUAAGAGUUAUACUUAAACUUUAAAGUCAACUAAAAAAUCUGUGCAAUUCAUAAGAGUUGAAAAAUAAAAAUAGCUCAAGAUUAGUGCUUGUCUAGACAAUUCUCAUUUCUUCCCAAAUCAAAAGGCUAAAAUAUGAACUUUUUAAACUUUUUUUCCCUUUUCCUUUUUGUGUCUUUCCUCUUUUUGUUAUUGAAAUAUUGGAAGAAUUCCAAUACCCAAAUUAGAAAAAAAUUGCCUCCUGGUCCAUGGAAAUUACCCUUACUUGGAAGCAUGUUUCACUUGUUAGGAGGACCUCCACAUCAUGUCCUUAGUGAUUUAGCAAAAAAAUAUGGUCCAA